GGGAACCUGCCUUUCAGAGGGGGACAACAGCUGGAAACGACUGCUAAUACCGCAUGACACAUUGGAGUCGCAUGGCUCUGAUGUCAAAGAUUUAUCGCUGAAAGAUGGCCUCGCGUCUGAUUAGCUAGUUGGUGAGGUAACGGCCCACCAAGGCGACGAUCAGUAGCCGGCCUGAGAGGGUGAACGGCCACAUUGGGACUGAGACACGGCCCAA
rnacentral:rRNA from 1 species